rnacentral:rRNA from 1 species
GAUGAACGCUAGCGGCAGGCCUAACACAUGCAAGUCGAGGGGCAGCGGGGUGUAGCAAUACACUGCCGGCGACCGGCGCACGGGUGAGUAACGCGUAUGCAACCUACCUUCAACAGGAGGAUAGCCCCGAGAAAUCGGGAUUAAUACUCCAUGACAUUUANAAGUCGCAUGAUUUAUAUCUUAAAGUUCCGGCGGUUGAAGAUGGGCAUGCGUGACAUUAGCUAGUUGGUGAGGUAACGGCUCACCAAGGCGACGAUGUCUAGGGGGUUCUGAGAGGAUUAUCCCCCACACUGGUACUGAGACACGGGACCAGACUCCUACGGGA